rnacentral:rRNA from 1 species
AGGGUUUGAUCAUGGCUCAGAACGUACGCUGGCGGCACGCCUUAUACAUGCAAGUCGAACGAAGUAGCAAUACUUAGUGGCAGACGGGUGAGUAACAUGUGGGUAUCUUCCCUUUGGUGAGGAAUAACACGAGGAAACUUGUGCUAAUACCUCAUAAGUCUUUACGAAGAAAGCUUUAUGCGCCAAUGGAUGAGCCCGCACUUGAUUAGUUUGUUGGUGGGGUAAUGGCCUACCAAGACUUUGAUCAAUAGCUGAUCUGAGAGGAUGAUCAGCCACAUUGGGACUGAGACACGGCCCAAACUCCUACGGGAGGCAGCAGUAGGGAAUAUUGCACAAUGGAGGAAACUCUGAUGCAGCGAUGCCGCGUGAGUGAAGAAGGCCUUUGGGUUGUAAAGCUCUUUCGUCGGGGAAGAAACUGACUGUACCCGAAUAAGAAGGUCCGGCUAACUUCGUGCCAGCCGCCGCGGGAAUA